ACUCCUACGGGAGGCAGCAGUAGGGAAUCUUCCACAAUGGGCGCAAGCCUGAUGGAGCAACACCGCGUGAGUGAAGAAGGGUUUCGGCUCGUAAAGCUCUGUUGUUAAAGAAGAACACGUAUGAGAGUAACUGUUCAUACGUUGACGGUAUUUAACCAGAAAGUCACGGCUAACUACGUGCCAGCAGCCGCGGUAAUACGUAGGUGGCAAGCGUUAUCCGGAUUUAUUGGCGUAAAGAGAGUGCAGGCGGUUUUCUAAGUCUGAUGUGAAAGCCUUCGGCUUAACCGGUACGAAGUAGCAUCGGAAACUGGAUAACUUGAGUGCAGAAGAGGGUAGUGGAACUCCAUGUGUAGCGGUGGAAUGCGUAGAUAUAUGGAAGAACACCAGUGGCGAAGGCGGCUACCUGGUCUGCAACUGACGCUGAGACUCGAAAGCAUGGGUAGCGAACAGGAUUAGAUACCCUGGUAGGAUAGCG
rnacentral:rRNA from 1 species